rnacentral:rRNA from 1 species
ACGGGGUGCAGCAGGCGCGAAAACUGGCCAAUGCGCGAAAGCGUGAGCCGGUCAAUCCGAGUGUAGACCCAUCGGUCUACUUUUAUUAUGUAUACAACGCAUGAUGAAUAACGAGAGGGCAAGACUGGUGCCAGCCGCCGCGGUAAAACCAGCUCUUGGAGUGGUGAUCAUGAUUAUUUGGCUUAAAGUGUGCGUAGCAGGACAGCGUAAGUCCCCUGUGAAAUGCUAGGUCUUAAGCUUAGCACGUGCAGGGGAUACUGCGCGUCUUGGGACCGGGAUAGGUGUAAUGUACGCGACGGGUAGGGGUGAAAUCCGAUAAUCCAUCGCGGACAACCGGUGGCGAAGGCGUUACACUGGAACGGGUCCGACUGUGAGGCACGAAAGCUAGGGUCGCGAGCCGGAUUAGAUACCCGGGUAGUCCUAUGCUGUAAACGAUGCUCAUUAAGUGUUAGGUAACGCAAGACGUUACCUAGUGCCGAAGCGAAAGCGUUAAAUGAGCCGCCUGGAAGUACGUUCGCAAGAA